UUACGGAGCUGGGUGGGGCCGGAGGGCUGCCGCGGAAAGAUAAACACUGUAAUAUAGAAGUGGGUGGGGGUGAACAAUGGAGCAAUAAACCUAUAGAAGGCUGUGAUAAAUGGAGAGAGAAGUGGGCUCAAAAGAGGAGGAGGGCGCCGCGGUGAGACAGCGAGAAGGGGAGGAGGCUCUCCACCGCGGCUCCGCUACUCUCGCUGCUUUCUCAGAAACAGGAACUUGCCCGUUGAACCGUCGUCCCUGUACGUCAGAGGCUCGAUGACGGACCCGUGUAUCUGUUGCUGUGGCAACUCGGCAACGAUAAACAUCCGGAUGACAUCUCUAAGGACGUGUGUGUGGAAAUGAGAACAGUCCCCUGUUCCUGCUGAACUGAGCCAGCCGACGUCACACACUGAUUAUCAGCACAGCAGGCACAGGAGACCGACCCAGCGGGGGGUGAGGAGAAGCGACGAUGGAGUCCGGCACGCUCGGCGGGCGAUCCCGGGUCCAGGGAGCGGAUGUACUGACCGGGCCGUGACCGGUCACUGUGCAGGUUGAAGCCGUAGCCCCCCGCUGACCGAGUCAGGUGACACAGACGUGGAGCGAGCUC